GGUUUUGUAGUGUAGUUGGUUAUCACAGUGGAUUCUGAUUUUCCACUAACCCCGGUUCGAAUCCGGGCAAGACCU
rnacentral:tRNA from 1 species